rnacentral:rRNA from 1 species
AAUAUAUGAGGAUCGAAGUAGCAUUAAUGGGCAUAAAAUUCCCAUGAAAGAUUAAUAUCGGUGUUGCUAGACCUUAUACAUAAUUAGGCAGUUGGUGAUGUAACGGAUUACCAAGCCCGCGAUGUUUAGCUGGUUUGGGAGAAUGAUCAGCCACAACGGGACUGAAAGACCGCCCGUCUUCUUUGAGGAGGCAGCAGUGGGGAAUCUUGGACAAUGAGCGAAAGCUUGAUCCAGCAAUUUCGCAUGUAUGAAGAAGACCACUAAACGUUGUAAAGUACUAAGCUCGGGGAUAAUAAUGACGGUACCCGAGUAAAAAGCCCUGACUAACUUCGUGCCAGCAGUCGCGGUAAAACGGAGAGGGCAAGUGUUAUUCGUAUUGACUGGGUGUAAAGGGUACGUAGGCGGUUAUUUAAGUUAUAAAAAAAAGGUAUAUCUUUUUAUAAUACUAUAUGACUAGAGUUAAAAAGGGGAUGGCGGUACCUCCAGUUUAGAAGUGACAUUCGUUUGAGAUUGGGGGGACCAACAAUAGGCGAUGGCUGCUUUCCAUUUUUAUACUGACGCUGAGGUACGAAAGCAUGGGGAGCGAACAGGAUUAGAGACCCUGGUAGUCCAUGCCCUGACCGAUGAAUAUUAAUCGUCCAUUUAGAUAGUGGAUGACUAAGCUAACGCGAAAAUAUUCCACCUGAGGACUACGGCCGCAAGGUUAAAACUCAAAGAAAUUGGCGGAAGAUCGUUUAAGCGGUGGAGUAUGUGGUUUAAUUCGAUAAUACGCGAAAAACCUUACCAAUCUUUGUGCACAUUUUCGGUUGUAUAAAACUUGUAGCCUAAAUUGAGGUGGUCAAUUUGGGCUAGAUAUGUGCCAGGCGUUGCAUGGCUGUCGUAAGCUCGUGUCUUAGGAUGUGUGGUUAACUCCAUGAACGGGCGCAACCCUUGUUCCUAAUUAGAUUAGGAAUGAAAACAGUGAAAACUGCUUUUGAGGAUGAGGAGUAUGUCAAGUCAAUAUGACCUUUAUAGAUUGGGCUACACACGUACUACAACGGUAGCUACAAUGAGAAACAAUGCCGCGAGGCGGAGUAAA